rnacentral:piRNA from 1 species
AAAGUCAGUUGUGUUGGCUGGUGUUUU